GUUGCAUUAUUAUUAUUUUUUAUUUGCAUCUGAAAAUGCCACCGUUUGGUUUGGGGUUAAAUAAAAACUUGUUAUUUCAGGGAUAGAGUUAAGUUCAGGUUAAGGUGGGAUUAGAGUAAUUUUAUGUUUGGUUGAGAAUUAGGUUUAGUUCAGGUAUAGAUAAAAUAGUGUUUGGUUGGAGUAGGUGGGAUAAAACGAUAGUAGAUAAAAUAGUGUUUGGUUGGAGUAGGUGGGAUAAAAAGAUAAUAGAUAAAAUAGUGUUUGGUUGAAGUAGGUGGGAUAAAAAGGAUAAUGGGUAAAAUAGUAUUUUGUUUGAUUAGAGUAGUAGGGUGGGGUGGUGUAGCUCCACCCCCAAAUUGAGUGUUUGGAAAUAACUUUGGAGUUAAAAAGUUAUUCCACCCCUCAACCCCGAACCAAACGGAUGCUUUGGAGUCAGAAUA
rnacentral:lncRNA from 1 species